CUCCUACGGGGGGCAGCAGUGGGGAAUAUUGCACAAUGGGGGAAACCCUGAUGCAGCGACGCCGCGUGAAGGAAGAAGUAUUUCGGUAUGUAAACUUCUAUCAGCAGGGAAGAAAAUGACGGUACCUGACUAAGAAGCCCCGGCUAACUACGUGCCAGCAGCCGCGGUAAUACGUAGGAGGCAAGCGUUAUCCGGAAUGACUGGGCGUAAAGGGUGCGUAGGUGGUUUGACAAGUUAGUAGCGCAACUCCGGAGCUUAACUUCGGAACUACUACUAAAACUGUUGGACUUGAGUGCAGGAG
rnacentral:rRNA from 1 species